CACACACACAAUCUCUGUCUCUCCAUCUCUCUGUGUGUGUGCGCCUCACUCUCUGUCUGUCUGUCUCUCUCUCUCUCUAUCGUCUUGUCUCUGCUAUCUCGCUGUGCACUUCUCUGUCUCUCUCCUCUUUCACUGUCUCUUUGGUCUUUGUGUGUGUGUGUGCCCCUCUCUGUCUCUGCCUCCCUCUGUGUGUGCUUUUGCCUUUCUCUCUCUCCGUCGCUCCCUGUGACCGUCGACCCCCCACCCCCUCUGCACCGCCCCUCCCCCCGCCUUUUCCUCCAUCUCUCUUACUCUCUAUCCGAGCCUCCCCACCCGCUCAGCAGGGAGCGUUGUGAGUUUCUUUCGAACAAAGUUUAAAGAUCUCUGUUUGAACCCAAGCCAUCCGCAAUCAGACUGCAUUUCUAAUCCCCCCCCCGCCCUCUCUCUCUCACACACACACACACACACACAGUCUGUCUCUUUCUCCCUUUCAGUCAAUCCCCUUCCUCUCUUGGUCCUACUCAAGCCUUUUCCCACCCCCGACUCUGCCUCGGCGAUGAGUCCGCUGUCCGGAUCCCUUUUCCCAGGCGUGGGCUGAGGACCUAGCGGUUCGGCAGCGGGGAUCAUCGCACCACGCUCCCGGACCCCUACAACCUCCAGUUCUCCAGCGGCCUCCAGCAUGACCACCGGGCUGGGAGCAGGCAUCCGGGCUGCCGGAGCGCUCGCUGCUCAGUGGCUCAGCCCUGCGCCGCCUUUGCCGGGAGCGGGGAUCCGAGGUGGGAGAAGGCCUCUUCGCCCGGCUCCUGGGCACAGCUACCUGCCUGAACAGCUGCCUGGCACCGAGCCUGCGCUCCCCGAGCACCCGACCGCGGGUCCGCGACGCCUUCCGGGGCUGAGUAGCCGAAAACUAUCUCCUACUGCAAGGGUAAGGACUGCCUGCAAAAUCUGAGAUUGGGCUUUGAAAGACAUCAACCUUUGCUUGCGAGAGAUAAUGGUAACUGCAGAUGCUAGAGAAUGCGAGAUAACAAUGUGUGGAGCUGGAUGAACACAGCAGGCCAAGCAGCAUCUCAGGAGCACAAAAGCUGACAUUUCGGGCCUCGACCCUUCAUGCGAGAGAACGUAACGUUUUUAAAGAAGAAAUUGCCCCAGUCAAACAAGAAGUCAAAAUAUUAAAUGAUCUGGCCAGUCAAUUAUCUCCGCUUGAUGUCUGUUUCUCUCCAAAGAUUUCUCACCAGCUUGACGACCUAAAUAUGAGGUUGAAAUUUAUACAGACAACAUCAGGUGAAGAUGUGCGUGAUUUCACCAAGGUGCUGAAAAAUAACUUCAGAUCAAAGAAAUACUUUGCCAAACAUCCUCGCUUGGGUUAUUUACCACUACAAACAGUCCUAGAAGACAAGGAAAUAUUGGUGAUGCAAUGAAGAGUUUGAUGAUAAAAUAUAAUUACUGUUACGGUUUCCUCUUGGACGAAAUAUUCUCAUCAAAUUGACUGGUCAAGGAAAUGGGACACUGACUGUGAGUACUUUGAGUGUUUAAGUGAUUCCUAAAAUGAAAAUUAUGACCUUGAUUUCUCUUGCAUGCAGAUAUGAAGAGACUAUUUUAAAAAUCCUCUCGGUUCGUGGUUCAGGCAUAAAGGUGUCACAUGCAUAUUUAUGUAUAUACAUGUACAUGUGAAAUCUGAAAAGAAAAUGACGAUAAAUCACUUGUUACAAGGUGAGAAUGAGUUAUCCAGAUAGUAAGAACUGCCAAAGUUGGUGUCUGAGAUAACACAUUGUGGAGCUGGGGGAAAGCAGGCAGCAUCAGAGGCUCAAGAAAGUUGAUGUUUUGGGUCAGGACCCUUCCUCCAAAAUGGAGGGUGGACGGGAGCUCAGAAACAAAUAGUGUGGAGAGGGAGGAGGUGCUGGGGAAGGUAGGUGGGAUGGUGAUAAAUGAGUACUAUCCAGAUUGGAACAGAUUUACCCCAGAAGGUAUUGAAUACAAGUUCCAAAUCACUCUCAAAAUCCUAGUGACUGUUAACAUUCAUGUUUUUUUUGUCUGUGUGUUUCAGUAGUUGCAUGUCAGUUUGAAUGGUUCAUUGAGAGUGAGGAACCUAUGGACUCACACACACCAACAUGGAAUUUAAUUCAAAGAGUGACUCCUCUUCAAAGUACUUAGUCGCUUUUAAAAUCUUGACCAUUUCUGCUGUCUAGUUGAACAAGUGUAGCUGAAUACUGCUUCAAUAGGAAUUAGUGUUUAAUAGGAACAUAUUUGUGAAACUUACAGUUCCUCAAGCUUUAGCAUAAACUGGUGGAGACUUUCGGCGCUUGCAAAAAGGCUCACCUCUCUUAAUACUGAAGGAAAAUUGGAGUUUAAAAAUGCGGAUAAAGUUCUCCAAGCUGACAGAAAUUGAAAGCACUCGCAUCCUGUGACGAUGGGGUAGGAGUGGAAGAAUCAGAGUGUUUCUUUGAAAAUUGGCUUGAUGUGUCUGUCCAAGGGUCAUCUGGAGGAAAAAAUACAAGUGUUGAACUCCAUCUGCCACCUCUCAGCCCAUCUGCAGCGAGCAGCAGCGGAGGCAAGACGGACCCGGAAGACUGCAGCUAAGGUAAAGCAGUUUAUUUUUAAAAUUACUUACCGGUAGCGGGCAGCGGUGUUUUUUUUUCCUCUCAGACAAGGAGUGGGAGCAGCAGAGGAAGUGACGAGGACCAGAGGGGCAGCCGGGAAGGAAAGCAGUGACCAUAUAUGUCAGCAAGGCGGCUAAACCCAAGGCUCUACAACUGUAGUGUCUCCCACCCGCCCUCCUCCUCUAACCUAGUUAAUAAGAUAUCUUCAAACAAGUAGCUGAACCCACAGAUUUAUGUGACCAACGAAGCCUGAGCCUUUUGCUUCACGAUGCAGUCCAGAUCCCUCGGCAGCUGGGCACUCAGACAUGAACUAAUGGAUAAGGAGGAGACAAUCAUAACUGCUUUGGAUUCAGCCCAUAGAAGGGCCAGAGGAGUCGCGCUGACACCUUCAUGUUUAAACAGAGGACACUUUUCUGCGUGCCACUAGAUGUAUAUCAGCCAUACCAAAAUGCUGCCUUUGCCUGAGACAGGGAAGAUGAAAUGACUUUGGGGAAAUGGAGAAUCAUUCAUGAAUCCAGUUACUUUCUGAUCUGACAGCUUUGUGGCAUCUGAAUGGAUAACAAUUUGAUCUGGUAAUCUCAAUUGAUAGAGUGCAAAUGUGUAGUGAUGCAUUUUGGGAGCUCUGGUAAGUGAAAGAUGUUCACAAUGACUAGUAGAUCCCUAGAGAGCACUGAGAAACAAAGGGACCUUGGUGUCCAAAAGCAAGAGUUCAUGCCCUCUGCUUCUGGCCUUUCAGGCAAUGUUGGAUCCAACACUCCACUGAGCCUUAGAUCCCAUGAGCUCUUGUUUUGUUGACCAGUCUGCUAUCACUGACCUUAUCAAAAACAUAUAGACGACAUCAGAUGAAUUUCCCUCUUCAACACUUCUGAUAUCUCCUCAAUAAAAAUUAGAUAAAAUUUGCAAACCAUGGCAUUACCUCAACAAAGCCAUGCUGACUAUCCCCGAACAUUCCAUGUUUCUCCAAGUGCAGCGACAUUUUGUCCCUUAAAAUUCUUUCUGAUAACUUCCCUACCACCAAGGUUAGACUGGCUUGUAACUUCUGGAUCUGUCCUUUCUUCUUUUAUAUAAAAGUAUGAGCGGUCCUCUGCCACCUUAGCUGUGGCCAGAAAUGACUUGAAAAAUCUUUGCCAGGACCUUUGAUAUCUCCUCCCCUGCUUCAUAAAGUCAUGCAGUAUAGAAACAGGCUCACUUGAUCAACAUCAAUGCCAACUAACAAACAUCAAACUACUGAUCCCAUUUACCUGCACUGAGUCAUUACCUACCAUACCCUGGCCCUUUAAAUGCUCAUCUGUUGCUUCUUUAAUAUUGCAAGCGUAUCUGCCUUCUCCACCUUGUCAGGCAGCAUAUUACAUGUUUGUAUCGCUUUUGGUGAAAACACUUGCCUCAGAUCCCCUCUAAAUAGCUGACAGUUCACCUGAAAUCUAUGCCCCCUGAUUUAAACUCGUCUACUGGUUCUCACAAUCAAUCUAUGCCUCCUCAUAAUUUUGAAUACGUCGAUCAGAUUUCCCCUCAGCCUCCUCUGCUGCAUGGAAAACGCACUUAGCCUACCAGUUUCUCCUCAUAAAACUUGCAUUCAAUCACAAAACAACACCCUGAAACAUAUACUAUCAACCAACCUGGCCAACAUCUCUGUCUCCGGCUUGCUACAGUGUUCCAGUGAAGCCCAGCACAAGCAGACAGAACAACACCUCAUUUUCUACUUGGGGACCUGACAGCCCUCCAGACUUAAUAUUGAGUUCUGCAAUUUUAGGGCCUAAACUCUCCCAUAUCGCAGCGCCCCCACCCCACACACCAGGCUUUGUUACCACGCAGCCUGCCACUACACACUCCCUGUUGUUAGUGACUAACAGUCCCCAUUGACAACUUCCCAGCCUGAUCGUUAGCAACUCCUUUAUCUGUCCACCUGUCUUUCUCUCUCUUUGGGCUCUAUCCUAUUGUUUACUCCCUCCCCACCCUCCUCCCUAUUUUCGGCAUAGAAACUGAUGUUUUCCCAGCCACCAUCAGUUCUGAGGAAGGGUCACCGGACUGGAAAUGUAAACUGUUUUUUCUUCCAACAUAUGUUGCCACACCUGCUGAGCUUUUCCAGCAACUUUGUUUUUGUUCGUUGUUUACAGCAUCCGCAGUUCUUGUGGUUUUUAUCACUAAACCUGUCAGACUCAUCAAUGCUCUCUAAUGCUCCAAUAAGAGGCACCUGCUGUACACAUGGUCAUGCAGACCAGCAGGAGCACUCAGCAUUUGACAUGUAGCGUCGGAUGUACCAAUCAUGGGUCAGAUCUUAAUUCCAGGCAUACCUUAGCUCAACAGAACACGGAUCUUUGCUUUUAAUUUACUCAUUCUCCUGCUUAAUUGUAGGGGACAAAAACCGGUGUUCACUCUCAGGUCUCUGCUGGUAUGCCUGCUUUUCAGGGAGAGCCUUAUCUCACCCACUCCUCUCAAUAACAUUCUCUGACUGUCACUGGGCCAACCCUCUGCUCUCAGUAACACUGUCUGCCCGUCACAGGGCCCUCACCCCCUCCUCUCAGUAAUACUGCCCGUCACAGGGCCCUCGCCCCCUCCUCUCAGUAAUACUGCCCGUCACAGGGCCCUCGCCCCCUCCUCUCAGUAACACUGCCCGUCACAGGGACAUCACCCACUCCUCUCAGUAAUACUGCUUGCCACAGGGCCCUCACCUGCUCCUCUCAGUUAUGCACUGACUGACUGUCACAGGGCCCUCACCCCCUCCCCUCAGUAACACACUCCGUCACAGUGCCCUCAGACUGUCACAGAGCGCUCACCGCUCCGCUCAGUCACACUGCCAGUUACAGGGCCCUCACGCGCUCCUCUCAGUAACACUGCCUGUCACAGAACCCUCACGCGAUCCUCUC